ACACGACUACAUUAGAUACCCCGGUAGUCCUAGCCGUAAACGAUACUCGCUAGGUGUCGGCCACGGUGCGACCGUUGUCGGUGCCGUAGGGAAGCCGUGAAGCGAGCCACCUGGGAAGUACGGCCGCAAGGCUGAAACUUAAAGGAAUUGGCGGGGGAGCACAACAACGGGUGGAGCUUGCGGCUUAAUUGGAUUCAACGCCGGAAAUCUUACCGGGACCGACAGCAACAUGAAGGCCAAGCUGAAGACUUUGCCGGAUUAGCUG
rnacentral:rRNA from 1 species